rnacentral:lncRNA from 1 species
UAGCUUAUUACAUAUUAAUAUAUUACCUCACAAACAUUUAGUAAUAUUUUUUAUUGAUGUAAUGGAAGCACUUCGGUAACUUGUAAAGAGCAUUUUAAGCAUUGCGAAGAAAAAGUUGUAUUAUAGACACCAUUGAUGCCUACUGUGUGCCAUCUUUUCCAGAAAAUUGUAUAGGCGGUAUACUCACUAUACAAAGUACUGACAGCAUAAUUACUACUAUCCUACUGUAGCAAAUAAUAAUAUUAUAGACUUAUUAUUAGAAGUAGAUAGCUUGAUAAAAAGCUGCUUUCGGCCCAUGGGCGGCUUUCAUUGAUUGCUUUAUUGUAUUUAGAUUUCGCCAAUGUGAAUUUCAGAUUAUUGCACCAAACAGUUUAAUCUUCUUUCAUGAGUAGCAGAGAUAAAUGUGUGUGCCAAGCCUCCUCAGUCAAGACCCUUUCAUCCACUCCAGUAUUAUUUGUAUUUUAAUUCAUGUUUCUUAUAUUAUACAUUAAAUUAUGCUUAUAUGUUAAAGGCGACCGGGGCUUUAGCAUUGGACCAAGCGUGGAUUUAAAGUGUAUUUAUUAAUAGUGCGAUUUGAUGAUAUCAGCAGCCGAUAUGAUCAAAUAAAUGAUCAUCCAUAGGUCUAAUACUUUAGAUAGUUGGGAGGUAUUUAUUCUAGCAGAAUAAAUAUAAAUAUUUACAUAUACACCUCCACCAAGAAAUGUCGUGCAUUAUCAAUUAACAAAACUGAAACUUUAGGGUUCUAAGCAAAUGUUCUUUGUGCAUUUUAACUCUUUUUUUUUUAAUGUAAAAAAGAACAAUAUUUUGGAAGUGAAAUUGGUCAAAUGCCAUAAUCGUUUUGUAAACGGGUUUAACCCUCCUAAGUUUAUCCUGUCCUUUGUUUUAUUGUCGUUAUUACAAAUCUUGGAAGCGACUGACACGUUCGUCUAUUCAGUCGUUUAUUUGUUUGGGUCUGUUCCUCGAAAAGAGUGCCUUUUACGUCCCUUUUGAUAUUUUAAGUAGAAAUCACGCACCAAUAUUUUAUUUUAGAAACCUGUUUCUUAACUGAAGUCCCCUUUAAUAUAGACCACAGAACAUUUUAAUUAAUCAGAUUUGUUAUAUGAACAAAGGCUUGCUAAAGUGCCCUCCGUCAACCCCGUGUCACUUCUAGGAAGAAUUUAACCCAUUUAAUCCCCACAUUGUAAAGUUUCUCCAUCAUUGUAAAGCCCUAGUUAUUUUGUUGCUUUGACAAAGCCAUUUCUGAAGAUUAUUAUUGGAGCUAUUUCAUAUGAUUAGUGAUUCGUUGAAGUCUGUCCCGCAUUUUAAGGUCAACCCUGUAACGUGAACUAAACUCUAGUUUUCAAUAAUAUCCGCUUUAGCCGAUAUCCGCAUAGCUGAUGUUGGAGUUGGAACUGCAUUAGAGCUGUCAAAUCCCACAAGCGGAGAUUGCCAUUGGCUGCACUGAGUCGCAUUAAGAGAAAUCUCAUGCAGCCUUGUUUCCAAGUUUGAACACUGGAAUGUGAGAAGUCAUCUACACCUUGAUUAGGAUGAAAGAAAUCCUCAUAAUUUUGUUGAAUGAUUUUACAGUUUGAGCGUAAUUUUCUAUAGCAUACACUCUCUUUCUGAACGUCUAACAGGAGUGGGGCAGGUGUGGCUUAGCGAGAAUGAUCGCUAGAGCAGCUGUUCACCGAUUUGAUGGCCCCAGCACAGUUCCACCGCUGACAUCGCCAAACAUCCGCUAUGCUGGGUGUCUGCUAUCGCAGGUUAACGCUUGAUCUGAUUGAAUCUAGGCGUAAUAAAACAUGUUUUUUUUUUUCAAGAGAAACAUUGCACAUCUAAUAGUGAAAUCAUAGUGUAAAAGCGGUGAGCUAGUUCUACUAUUUUAUGGCCAGACAGGUCACCCGUGAAACAAAUCAGCGUUAGACGUCCAUACAUGUCUGAGGACGUCGGGAGAUGUCAUGGGAACCGUCCACGAGGGGCAACAAUGAGCACUGUUACCUUCAAGUAGGUUUCGGUUUUUCUAGGGCGUUGCGGAACGUGGAUGACGGACAGGAGUAAGGAUCCUCUGAUUCCAAAGGUUGCAUGUUGGAAUCCAGCGAUAGAAAGUAGUUAAUCUUGAGGAUACCCUAGGAUAGGGGGCGCCACAGCGCAUUUUGAAAAAAAAUCGUUCCCAUUUUCAACGGCCUACUAAUCAAACUCAGAAGCUAGGACAUGCAUAUACUUAUUAUAUAUGGAUAGAAAACACCCUAAAGUUUCUAAAACUGUUUGAAUGGUGUCUGUGAGUAUAACAGAACUCAUGUGGCAGUCAAAACCCCGAGACCGAUUGAAACAGGAAGUGGAAUUCUGAAUUGUGGACUCGACUUCUCAUCUUUCCCUAUUAAUCACACCGUUAACAAUGGUUCAAUGAGCACUUCCUAUUGCUUCCACUAGAUGUCGCCAGUCUUUUCACAGUGGUUUGAGCCUUAUACAGUCGAAACUCAGUGAAUGAGACGCAUUGGAAAUUGGUCACAGGGGAUGGGCCAUCACCAUUAUGACGCCGGCGGCGCUGUCUACCCCCACCUUUGGAAAUGUUUUAAAACACUCUGCAACCGUCCCCGUCGAAUCUUAUUGGCUCUCUAGGUGUUACAGGCCCUGAAGAUUAAUGUUUUACAACGUUUGACAUGUUUGAACGAACCUAAAUGGGAAAAAAAUGUUUUAUUUCGAAACGGCUGUAGUAUUUGGAUACAGUAUUCAGACGCGCUAACAACAGAAAGCUAAUGGAACAUAAAUGAUGGACUUUUUCGACCGAAAAUACAUCUGUUGUGGACCUGGGAUUCCUGGAAGUGCUUUCUGAUGAAGACAACUAAAGGGCCACUUGGAAAGACAUGAAUAUUCAAAGACAUCCACCAAGAACAAGGAAGAUGUUUGUAUUCUGGGAAGAAGACCACUUCGCUGGACAUGGCUGAUCCUUGCCCUGGUGUAUUGUGCAUGCACUUCAAAUGAACUGUGAUUGUGCCUUUGAUGUGAGUCAUUGUAUCAUGCUGGCCAAUUUAGAGUUUGCAGAUACCGGGUGUAAUAUGACG